GCGGGUGUGGCGGAAUUGGCAGACGCACUAGACUUAGGAUCUAGCGCCUUCAUGGCGUGGGGGUUCGACUCCCUUCACCCGCA
rnacentral:tRNA from 1 species